UUAAAUUCUGCUCCGUACUUCUAACAUUUUUAUUUUUAUACUGUAUUGAAGAUUUGUUCUGUUUUGUGUAUUGUAUUGUAUUGACCCCUUUCUUUUUGAUACCCACUGCACGCCCAACCUACCUGGAAAGGGGUCUCUCUUUGAAUUGCCUUUCCCAAGGUUUCUUCCAUUUUUCCCUACAAGGUUUUUUUUGGGAGUUUUUCCUUGUCUUCUUAGAGAGUCAAGGCUGGGGGGCUGUCAAGAGGCAGGGCCUGUUAAAGCCCAUUGCGGCACUUCCUGUGUGAUUUUGGGCUAUACAAAAAUAAA